UACGUAGGUGGCAAGCGUUGUCCGGAUUUACUGGGUGUAAAGGGCGUGUAGACGGGACUUAAAGUCAGAUGUGAAAUACCGCAGCUUAACUGCGGGGCUGCAUUUGAAACUUAAGUUCUUGAGUGCAGGAGAGGAAAGCGGAAUUCCUAGUGUAGCGGUGAAAUGCGUAGAUAUUAGGAGGAACACCGGUGGCGAAGGCGGCUUUCUGGACUGUAACUGACGUUGAGGCGCGAAAGCGUGGGUAGCAAACAGGAUGAGAUACCCUGGUAGUCCACGCUGUAAACGAUGGAUACUAGGUGUGAGGGGUAUCGACCCCUUCCGUGCCGGAGUUAACGCAAUAAGUAUCCCACCUGGGGAGUACGGCCGCAAGGUUGAA
rnacentral:rRNA from 1 species